rnacentral:tRNA from 1 species
GGCUUUAUAGUCAAUAAUGACAUUAGACUGCAAAUCUAAAGGAGCAAAUUAAUGCUAUAGCUU